GAGUUUGAUCUUGGCUCAGAUUGAACGCUGGCGGCAGGCCUAACACAUGCAAGUCGAGCGGAUGAAGGGAGCUUGCUCCUGGAUUCAGCGGUGGACGGGUGAGUAAUGCCUAGGAAUCUGCCUGGUAGUGGGGAUAACGUCCGGAAACGGGCGCUAAUACCGCAUACGUCCUGAGGGAGAAAGUGGGGGAUCUUCGGACCUCACGCUAUCAGAUGAGCCUAGGUCGGAUUAGCUAGUUGGUGGGGUAAAGGCCUACCAAGGCGACGAUCCGUAACUGGUCUGAGAGGAUGAUCAGUCACACUGGAACUGAGACACGGUCCAGACUCCUACGGGAGGCAGCAGUGGGGAAUAUUGGACAAUGGGCGAAAGCCUGAUCCAGCCAUGCCGCGUGUGUGAAGAAGGUCUUCGGAUUGUAAAGCACUUUAAGUUGGGAGGAAGGGCAGUAAGUUAAUACCUUGCUGUUUUGCCGUUACCAACAGAAUAAGCACCGGCUAACUUCGUGCCAGCCGCGCCGUAACACC
rnacentral:rRNA from 1 species